rnacentral:lncRNA from 1 species
GGAGCCGCAGCAAGAGGAGAUGGAGGAGAACAAUGAGGCGCAGGUAAGCCCCCUCUUCAAUUUACUUUCUUGUAUCAGUCUCUCUUGCUUUAAUUUGAUCUAAAUGUGUCACUUAUCCGUUGUUACUAACUUAGCAACCUGCUUUCCUACUAACCAAUAAAUGCAAGGCUACGAUGGUGUGACGCCCGGAUAGUUACGCUACAGUAAACCUCUGCUAAUGAUGCCACGUCACCACGAUUACUGUUGUUAAUCUUGCGAUGAUUCAAAUCUCGUUCAAUUUCAAAUUUAAAGUCAAGUCAAACAAUUAAAGUUAUCGAAAGUCAAAACUAAAAUAUUUUUAUUGUGACAAAUAAAUCAUGGAUAUUAUUGGUGGAGAAACAACAUCUUUAUAAAAUAAUUAAAUACCCUAAGGUGAUUAAAACAACAGCAAAAACAAUUAGUUAUACUCCUAAUAUAUUUUACAAAAUACUAAGCUAUUUAGCUAGGUGCCAAAGUUGUUGUGGCAGUGGUAUAAUUAAUGUUACUAUGUUAGGUGCUAAUUGGAUAUUUUACCAAACUAAAACAAAUUAGGAAAUAAAAUUAAAACAAAAAAAAGUAAAACAAAACAAACAAAAAAAAAGAGGGGGGAACCCCCCUGUUCCGCUGGGCCAAGUGGCCCAGCUGACCCCAGCCGCCCGAAUGGGCCGGCCCACCCAGCGCCCCAGCCUACAACCCCCCGGUCAGCACGACCGAAACCCUAACCGCACCCCACUUCCCCCCCCCCCACGAUCCCUUCUCCCCCACCGAUCUGGAUCGGGAUCGGCCCCGAUCCCGCCGACCCCGACGCCCAACGCUCGCCGCCGCCGGGGACCACCUCGCCGGCUCUGACGUCGCCCUUGACGGCUCCGCCAUCUCGCGCUCCCCUCUCCUUCUCCCUCGACGGAUCUACUCGCGCCCGAGGACGCCGUCCGCAUCGCCGGCGCAUGCCACCGUCGAGCCCUCCCCGAGCACGCUGUUGCACGCCUACAGGGCCCGGUGAGCGCGCCCUCGAUCCUCGCUUUCCCUCGUCUCUAUCUCGUUCCUCGCACCACGCCCGUCCGCCACCAUCGCCCUUUCUCGCCACGCCCGUCGCUGCGCGUCCGCGGCCACCCAGCUGCGCCACUCGCCGUGCUCGCCGCUCCACACCACCUUCCUGCGCCCAAGGCCACCGUGGCCGUGCUCCGCCCGCUCCACUUGCCCUGAACCGCGGCUCCUACCGCAUGCUGGCCCAGGGUCACGAAUGUGCCUCGCCCACACCCCGUGCAGCCAGCGCCCGCCCGCUGCUUCCCGGCCCCGCCGUGGCCUUGCCUCUGCCGCGACCCGCGCCUUCACCGCUCGCAGCCGCGGCCGGUGCCUCGCCACGACCGCCCAGCUCUGCCAUGGCCUUCGCCUUACCCCUCCCUGUCCGGCCGCUCCCUGCGCCACGCUCCUCGCCGGCGUUUGCCACUGGCCUUGCCUCGCUUCCCCCCUCGCUCGGGCGAGACCCGGCGCCCGCUAGCGCCUGUAAACCGCAUCGCCCCUCUGGGCCACUACCAAAGGGGCCCAGCCCCAGAACGUUUCGAAAAGAAAGAUUAAAAGAAAAUAAUAAAAAUAUUAAUUAAUCAGUUAAUUAAUUAAUUAAAUUAAUUAACUUAACUAAUUCUGAUUAGAUUAACCUAAUUAGCAAUUAAACUAGUUAAUCUGUUUUAGUUAAUCAGUCAAUGACAGUGGGGCCCACCCCCUAAUUAAUACUAAUUAGGUUAAUUAAUAUGUCUAAUUAAAAUGUGUCACUGACCAGUGGGACCCACUGGUCAGGUUGACCAUUCAACUCUGUUGACUGCUGACAUCAGCAUGACAUCAUGAUGAUGUUAUAAAACCAAAUUUUGAAUUAAAUUAAAUAAUUAAUUAAAUUCUAGAAAUUAAUAAAAUCUUUAGAAAAUCAUAUCUUUUAAUCCGUAACUCCGAUUAAAUUAUUUUGAACAUGAAAGUUGCUCAGAACGACGAGACGAAUCCGGAUACGCAACCCGUUCGUCCGCCACACCCCCCUAACCUAUCGAACUUGCAACUUCCCCCUCCGGCUCCUCUGUCCGAAAAUGCGAAACACCGGGAAUACUUUCCCUGAUGAUUCCCCCCUUCACCGGUACCACCUCGUACCGCGUUAGGGUACACCUAGCAUCACGCUUCGUCACGUCAUGCAUCGUCAUGCAUUUGUUUGCAUUAUAUUUAUUGUUUCUUCCCCCUCUUCUCUCGCUAGACAUCGAGACCGACGCCGCUGCUACCCAGUACGACUACGGUGUUGACGACCCCUCUCUCUUGCCAGAGCAACCAGGCAACCCCCCCCCUUGAUCACCAGAUAUCGCCUAUUCUACUCUAUACUGCUUGCAUUAGAGUAGUGUAGCAUGUUACUGCUUUCUGUUAUACCUAUCCUGAUGCAUAGCCUGUCCUUGAUACUACUGUUGUUACCUUUACCUGCAAUCCUAUAUGCUUAGUAUAGGAUGCUAGUAUAUUCAUCUGUGGCCCUACAUUCUUGUCCGUCAGCCGUGCUAUAUUAUCGGGCCGUGAUCACUCGGGAGGUGAUCACGGGUAUAUACUAUGUACUUUAUACAUGAUACAUGUGGAGACUAAAGUCGGGUCGGCUGGUGGAGCACCCGCGAGUGGAUCUUUGUGGCGGAGCGACAGGGCAGGUUGAGACCGCCUAGGAGAGAGGUGGGCCUGGCCCUGUUCGGCGUUCGCGGAUAUUUAAUACGCUUAACGAGAUCUUGGUAUUUGAUCUGAGUUGGCUACGAGCCUAUACGCACUAACCAUCUACGUGGGAGUAGUUAUGGGUAUCCCGGCGUCGUGGUAUCAGCCGAAGCACUUCAGACGUCAGCGACGGAGCGGCGCGCGCCGGAUUGGACUGGAACGCCUGCUAGGCUAGGUCUGCUUCCGGCCGCCCUCGCAACGUGUAGGUGUGCUAUGGGCGAUGGGCCCAGACCCCUGUGCGCUUAGGUUUAGACCGGCGUGCUGGCCUCUCUGUUUUGCCUAGGUGGGGCUGCGACGUGUUGAUCUUCCGAGGCCGGGCAUGACCGAGGAAAGUGUGUCCGGCCAAAUGGGAUCAAGCGUGUUGGGUAAGUUGGUGCACCCCUGCAGGGAAGUUAAUCUAUUCGAAUAGCCGUGAUCUUCGGUAACAGGACGACUUGGAGUUGUACCUUGACCUUAUGACAACUAGAACCGGAUACUUAAUAAAACACACCCUUCCAAGUUCCACAGACAACCCGGUGAUCGCUUUUCCACAGGGCAACGAGAGGAGGAUCGCCGGGUAGGAUUAUGCUACUGCGAUGCUACUGGAGAUGCUACUUGGAGAUGCUACUUGGAGAUGCUACUUGGGGGACUUCAAUCUACUCUCUUCUACAUGCUGCAAGACGGAGGCUGCCAGAAGCGUAGUCUUCGACAGGAUUAGCUAUCCCCCUCUUAUUCUGGCAUUCUGCAGUUCAGUCCACCGAUAUGGCCCUUUACACAUAUACCCAUGCAUAUGUAGUGUAGCUCCUUGCUUGCGAGUACUUUGGAUGAGUACUCACGGUUGCUUUUCUCCCUCUUUUCCCCUUUCCCUUCUACCUGGUUGUCGCAACCAGAUGCUGGAGCCCUAGAGCCAGAUGCCACCGUCGACGAUGAUUCCUACUACACUGGAGGUGCCUACUACUACGUGCAGGCCGCUGACGACGACCAAGAGUAGUUAGGAGGAUCCCAGGUAGGAGGCCUGCGCCUCUUUCGAUCUGUAUCCCAGUUUGUGCUAGCCAUCUUAUGGCAACUUGUUUAACUUAUGUCUGUACUCAGGUAUUGUUGCUUCCGCUGACUCGUCUAUGAUCGAGCACUUGUAUUCGAGCCCUCGAGGCCCCUGGCUUGUAUUAUGAUGCUUGUAUGACUUAUUUAUGUUUUAGAGUUGUGUUGUGAUAUCUUCCCGUGAGUCCCUGAUCUUGACCGUACACAUUUGCGUGCAUGAUUAGUGUACGAUUGAAUCGGGGGCGUCACAAGUUGGUAUUAGAGCCAACUGCCUGUAGGAAUCCCCCUUUCCACACUCCUUGGCCAAAGUCGAGUCUAGACAUUGCAAAACUUUUACUAACUUGGUUGUGUGCCUUACGGGCCCACGUCGCCAUCGGGUGGUACUAGGAUCUUUUACUCCUCGACCUUUACUCUGGGACUCUGAACUCUCUUCUACUCGGGUUAAACGAUUUUUACUAAAAUCUGACUUUAGGUUCUCGAAAAUACUUUCUCCCGGAGAGCCCCUUCAGUCCAGAUUAUCGCCGGCUGCACCAGAAGAUUUCGAAGUUACUCGCCGAAACUCUUUUGAGACUUUGUGCCUGUUGCUUUUGCAAUUCCCUACCAUCGAAAUAUCCCUAUGGAUAAAUACAUACACUUGACGUUCUUACUUUUAUUCCCAGUUGAUCUUGUUAUUACAAGAUACCCCGAAAUUCUCUCUAUUGAUCCGAGAAUAUCUUGUGCCUACUGUCUUGCAAUUCCUUGUCACCUGAAUACCCCUAUGGAUAAUUCUCGCACUUGUCGAGUAUCCGCUUAUCCCCAGUUGUUCAUGUGUUUCACAAAAGUCUUUGAAAUACUAUUCAAUCCUUCGAAAAUCCUUAGCAGCUUUAUUGCUCUGCAAAUACUUGUCUACUUGCAUUAUGGAUGCUUCCCAUAUAUCUAGCAAUAUUCACUAGUAUCUUUUGACACCGUCAUUUUGAUCCUAUUGAUUCAACAUGUGUGCGAAUGCACACAAUCAUCUAUCAACCCUUCUAAAUGAUCUUUCUGGCUCAGACAUCAUUUUUGAACAUGAGCUGGUUCUUGACCAAACUAUUGGACGUCAAUUGUGACUCUGGUCUAUCCAACUUAUCCAUCCUUGAUCAGAGCGACAACUUCUGAUCCUUUGUUUUGGAAAUCGUAAUUCCUUUGUUAUCUAAGCAUCGAAUUAUUCAGAUGUUCUAUAAUAUGAUGCCCGUGCAUUCUUCUUCCUCUGGUUGAGUAUCGAUACUCACAUCAGAUCUUUUAUGGACCGCUAUAUCCUUGGUUGGAUUAUUAUACGACAGUGUCCUUCAUAUUGAAUAACCUUGUGAGCCUUUACAUGGGUAUAUAAUGCCUUUGGUAAAUUGUAUCACCUGCUUUUGAACAAUGCUCUACUUUCGAGCUUGUAUUAUUUACUCCGAAGUUUGUGGUAUAUGUUCCUAAGAUGCCCUGAUGGGUUGAACCUAUGCCUUCCCUAAUCUGUGUGAACCCGAAAGAUUUCACGAGUCAUACUCAUCUGGUAUUACACCAGGUAAAACUUUCAACACUAAUGCCUUUAUCAAAGGGAGAAGUGAAUGGGAGGUUAUACAUUGAAGAAGUGGGAGUCGACCUUGAUCUCUGAGUUCAUGCCCAUGGACCUGAUGUGGAACUUAUCAUGGAAGCUUCUUGCCAAUAUUUACUCAUUCGAGUAAUUCUUUCGGUGUUAUUAAAUUGGACCCCUUGUAGUUAUGGUUUCGACCAUAUUGUUCUUCUUUGUUCCCAUUUCUCGGGCAAGUUUAAACAUUUGUCUUCUGCGGAUUAAUACCCCAGUCCAACCUCUACUUUGAUCCGUCUUCGAGUAUUACCCCCCUGGUAUCUUGAGAUUAUCUUGGAACUGCAUUACUUCUUAUGAGUUCUUGUUCAAGUACUACAUUCUCGCUGAUUCCAAUUUUCCACGGGCUCCGAGUUAUUAGACACUUGGGAACACCGAUAAGUGAAUCGAUUCCAUACUCCGAUUCAAUAACUCUAAGUAAUUCUUGUUGCUUAUGAGUUUAAUAAUCCUUCAAGUCAUUCCUAGCCUUAUCAGCUAUAUCAUUAUCAUGCAAAAUUUUAACUGUGCUACCUGGUCCUUCUUUCGGAGCACAACUUUCGACGAUGAGCUAGACUUACAUCGAUCUUCCUUGUCAUAUCAUUUCGCCUUGAACAUCAAGCUUGAUUUCGAGUUCGUGUCGUACCCUUGGUUUUAGUAACUUUCGCUUCAUUAGUCCUUUGACUUGAUGUCAUCGUUAUUCGAUUACAUCUUCAUGAAACCUCUCGACAAAUGUGUCGUAAUCAUCAUCUACAUUCUGAGCUCUUACAGGAUAUCAAUCGAAUUUGUGAUGAGAAAUACCAUCCUUGCCCCUCGAUGAUUGUGUUAUCAUCGACGACAUUCUUGCCUUCCCCCAACACAAACUUGUUCAUGUUUUGUGUUAUACCUUGAGUUCCUUGCUAUCCAGCCUUUGUUCUUCUUUAUCUUGGAGUAUUACCAUCUUUUAUGUCAAGAAUGUUCUGAGAUUUGUUCCACCUCUUGAGAGUUCUUGGUGUAGUGCUACUUCUCACCAUCACCAUUCUUUCAUGGUCCUCGUGUUGAUUUCAACCGGGGUACCAACAAGUGAACGGUGCUGUUUGGAUUCUGUACUUCUAGCAACCCUAUUGCUUUGAAAUUAAUGGUCAACCGUUCAUUCUUAGACUAUUGAUUAUUGAAUCACCAUUCUGACAUUGGUCGUGCAGCCCAACCCAUAUUUCGGGCGCACCUUUCAACCAAUGUUUAGUUGUGUAUGUUGUCCUUGAGCAUGCUUCAUUAUACCAUUUGAUCUGACAAGAGCUAUCUCCUUGUUCACAUUAUUGUGGAAAAUUCAUCCGCUUGGAAUUCUCGAUGAAUUGUCGCUGAGCCCAUCAGCCAACUUCUCAUCCCCUCCUUGGUUUAAUGAUGAACUAUUGUUUCAGGAACCCGCUCCCAUAGUUCAUUUCCCGAGAAUCUUGCAAUGUCAUUUCGUCGAGUUGUGUAGCCCCUUUUCUUCUCGGACAUCCUGAGUCUGAGGUAUCAUGACACCAAUCGGAUCUGAAUCUUGGUCAGAUAUGAUGGUUGGGACAACUUUCCAAGAGUUAUGAUGUUGGUUCUUUGAUGACCCGGUAACAUGAUGUCAUGCCUAGCACCCCCCCUAGGUGGAGGACCUAUCGUUAUAAUUUCUUUUGCAAGGAUAACCACUCCUCCUGGAGGAAAUUGUAAGACCUAUUUUAUGAGCUGUUCCUGAUGGAUCCAUUGAGUAUUUAAAGUCCGACCUUUGUUUGAAUACCAUGUCAAUGCUAUCUCAAAAGCUUGUUUGUGAUACUCCAAUUUCCAACAAGAACAUUUGGAGCCCAAGGCUAAAAGUUUCCUGCUCAAUUAUCCAAACACCGUUGUAUCGGUAGUGUCAUGAAAAUUCUCUCCCCUACCUAAAGAGUUUUCUACAUUAUAUCCUGUCAUGGAUAUCAUGCUCUGCUUGUCCUUGGGAAGGUUAUACCCCUGAAAUAUGUGAUUAAACACAUUUUCCUUGUCUUUGUUCUGUGUAAUUUGAUAACCAUAUUUCCUUUCUGUUGUUUGGUUUAACCUUUCUUGUGAUCUAUAUAAUCUAAGCAGUAAUAAUUCACUGCGUAGGUAAACACCUCGGUGUACAACUCUGACAGUGAGACCCUGUUUCUAUUGUUGAUGGCAUUUCGGUAACCGCCGAUGGAUGAGAACUUUGCCUCUUGGCCCGUCUCGUUCAACGAGCAGGAAAAUAGUUCUCUUCGUCCCUCGCCCUUGGUAUCGACGUUGUCGCCGACAUAAUCGACAGGCUACCCCCCUGACAUGCCUUGCUUGCAUGAUCACACAAGACGUCUCCACCCUUCCUACUUCUAACCCACAUGGUGGGCCCAUAACCCACAGGUCCACUGGAUCGAAACCUGACUCUGCUGUACAACCCUGUUUCUAGUGGUUAUUCCCCAUGCUUGGCUUUGUAUUUAAUUCAUGGGCCACCUUCCUAGUGCUCUAUUAUGGUAUCAGACGCAAUAUUUACUGUCGCUACUCUGAACCCCUUUCUCACUCUGGUUCGGACUUCGAGCAACCACCUAUCCGCUUGGAACCUCUUAUUGUACCUUCGUACCUUACUCUCGAUGUAUUUUAUAUGUUCAACUCGAGAGAUAAUCUUAUGCUCAUUCAUGGGUUAACCCCAGGUUGUUUCCCUCAUAAGCAUUAUGUCGUAGCCGAGCUGCCCCUUACCUAUUCGUAAGUACGAUGGAGAUCCUGAAGAAAGGAUGACGACUUCAUCAUGAUGCCCUGAAGCUGAGGAAUGAAGACAUCAACAUAAUGGAUCGACCUCUUUGUGAAGAGCAUCCAAGACCAAGAAGAUUCGUUAGGAUUUCGUAACCAAACCUUUCCCCCUUAUUCCACCUCUUAAAUCUCGGGACGAGAUUUCUUGUAGUGGAGGAGAAUUGUGACGCCCGGAUAGUUACGCUACAGUAAACCUCUGCUAAUGAUGCCACAUCACCACGAUUACUGUUGUUAAUCUUGCGAUGAUUCAAAUCUCGUUCAAUUUCAAAUUUAAAGUCAAGUCAAACAAUUAAAGUUAUCGAAAGUCAAAACUAAAAUGUUCUUAAUGUGACAAAUAAAUCAUGGAUAUUAUUGGUGGAGAAACAACAUCUUUAUAAAAUAAUUAAAUACCCUAAGGUGAUUAAAACAACAGCAAAAACAAUUAGUUAUACUCCUAAUAUAUUUUACAAAAUACUAAGCUAUUUAGCUAGGUGCCAAAGUUGUUGUGGCAGUGGUAUAAUUAAUGUUACUAUGUUAGGUGCUAAUUGGAUAUUUUACCAAACUAAAACAAAUUAGGAAAUAAAAUUAAAAAAAAAAGUAAAACAAAACAAACAAACAAACAAAAAAAAGAGGGGGGAAAACAGAACCCCCCUGUUCCGCUGGGCCAAGUGGCCCAGCUGGCCCCAGCCGCCCGAAUGGGCCGGUCCACCCAGCGNNNNNNNNNNNNNNNNNNNNNNNNNNNNNNNNNNNNNNNNNNNNNNNNNNNNNNNNNNNNNNNNNNNNNNNNNNNNNNNNNNNNNNNNNNNNNNNNNNNNNNNNNNNNNNNNNNNNNNNNNNNNNNNNNNNNNNNNNNNNNNNNNNNNNNNNNNNNNNNNNNNNNNNNNNNNNNNNNNNNNNNNNNNNNNNNNNNNNNNNNNNNNNNNNNNNNNNNNNNNNNNNNNNNNNNNNNNNNNNNNNNNNNNNNNNNNNNNNNNNNNNNGACCCCGACGCCCAACGCUCGCCGCCGCCCGGGACCACCUCGCCGGCUCUGACGUCGCCCUUGACGGCUCCGCCAUCUCGCACUCCCCUCUCCUUCUCCCUCGACGGAUCUACUCGCGCCACGAGGACGCCGUCCGCAUCGCCGGCGCAUGCCACCGUCGAGCCCUCCCCGAGCACGCUGUUGCACGCCUACAGGGCCCGGUGAGCGCGCCCUCGAUCCCCGCUUUCCCCCGUCUCUAUCUCGUUCCUCGCACCACGCCCGUCCGCCACCAUCGCCCUUUCUCGCCACGCCCGUCGCUGCGCGUCCGCGGCCACCCGGCUGCGCCACGCUCGUCGUGCUCGCCGCUCCACACCACCUUCCUACGCUCAAGGCCACCGUGGCCGUGCUCCGCCCGCGCCACUUGCCCCGAACCGCGGCUCCUACCGCAUGCUGGCCCAGGGUCACGACUGUGCCUCGCCCACACCCUGUGCAGCCAGCGCCCGCCCGCUGCUUCCCGGCCCCGCCGUGGCCUUGCCUCUGCCGCGACCCGCGCCUUCACCGCUCGCGGCCACGGCCGGUGCCUCGCCACGACCGCCCAGCUCUGCCAUGGCCUUCGCCUUACCCCUCCCUGUCCGGCCGCUCCCUGCGCCACGCUCCUCGCCGGCGUUUGCCACUGGCCUUGCCUCGCUUCCCCCCUCGCUCGGGCGACGCCCGAGACCCGGCGCCCGCUAGCGCCUGUAAACCGCAUCGCCCCUCUGGGCCACUACCAACAGGGCCCAGCCCCAGAACGUUUCAAAAAGAAAGAUUAAAAGAAAAUAAUAAAAAUAUUAAUUAAUCAGUUAAUUAAUUAAUUAAAUUAAUUAACUUAACUAAUUCUGAUUAGAUUAACCUAAUUAACAAUUAAACUAGUUAAUCUGUUUUAGUUAAUCGACAGUGGGGCCCACCCCCUAAUUCAUACUAAUUAGGUUAAUUAAUAUGUCUACUUAAAAUGUGUCACUGACCAGUGGGACCCACUGGUCAGGUUGACCAGUCAACUCUGUUGACUGCUGACAUCAGCAUGACAUCAUGCUGAUGUCAUAAAACCAAAUUUUGAAUUAAAUUAAAUAAUUAAUUAAAUUCUAGAAAUUAAUAAAAAUCUUUAGAAAAUCAUAUCUUUUAAUUCGUAACUCGGAUUAAAUUAUUUUCAACAUGAAAGUUGCUCAGAACGACGAGACGAAUCCGGAUACGCAACCCGUUCGUCCGCCACACCCCCUAACCUAUCGAACUCGCAACUUUCCCCCUCCGGCUCCUCUGUCCGAAAAUGCGAAACACCGGGAAUACUUUCCCGGAUGAUUCCCCCCUUCACCGGUACCACCUCGUACAGCGUUAGGGUACACCUAGCAUCACGCUUCGUCAUGUCAUGCAUCGUCAUGCAUUUGUUUGCAUUAUAUUUAUUGUUUCUUCCCCCUCUUCUCUCGCUAGACAUCGAGACCGACGCCGCUGCUACCCAGUACGACUACGGUGUUGACGACCCCUCUCUCUUGCCAGNNNNNNNNNNNNNNNNNNNNNNNNNNNNNNNNNNNNNNNNNNNNNNNNNNNNNNNNNNNNNNNNNNNNNNNNNNNNNNNNNNNNNNNNNNNNNNNNNNNNNNNNNNNNNNNNNNNNNNNNNNNNNNNNNNNNNNNNNNNNNNNNNNNNNNNNNNNNNNNNNNNNNNNNNNNNNNNNNNNNNNNNNNNNNNNNNNNNNNNNNNNNNNNNNAUCACCAGAAAUCGCCUAUUCUACUCUAUACUGCUUGCAUUAGAGUAGUGUAGCAUGUUACUGCUUUCUGUUAUACCUAUCCUGAUGCAUAGUCUGUCCUUGAUACUACUGUUGUUACCUUUACCUGCAAUCCUAUAUGCUUAGUAUAGGAUGCUAGUAUAUUCAUCUGUGGCCCUACAUUCUUGUCCGUCAGCCGUGCUAUACUAUCGGGCCGUGAUCAGUCGGGAGGUGAUCACGGGUAUAUACUAUGUACUUUAUACAUGAUACAUGUGGAGACUAAAGUCGGGUCGGCUGGUGGAGCACCCGCGAGUGGAUCUUUGUGGCGGAGCGACAGGGCAGGUUGAGACCGCCUAGGAGAGAGGUGGGCCUGGCCCUGUUCGGCGUUCGCGGAUAUUUAAUACGCUUAACGAGAUCUCGGUAUUUGAUCUGAGUUGGCUAAAAGCCUAUACGCACUAACCAUCUACGUGAGAGUAGUUAUGGGUAUCCCGGCGUCGUGGUAUCAGCCGAAGCACUUCAGACGUCAGCGACGGAGCGGCGCGCGCCGGAUUGGACUGGAACGCCUGCUAGGCUACGUCUGCUUCCGGCCGCCCUCGCAACGUGCAGGUGUGCUAUGGGCGAUAGGCCCAGACCCCUGUGCGCUUAGGUUUAGACCGACGUGCUGGCCUCUCUGUUUUGCCUAGGUGGGGCUGCGACGUGUUGAUCUUCCGAGGCCGGGCAUGACCCAGGAAAGUGUGUCCGGCCAAAUGGGAUCAAGCGUGUUGGGUAAGUUGGUGCACCCCUGCAGGGAAGUUAAUCUAUUCGAAUAGCCGUGAUCUUCGGUAACAGGACGACUUGGAGUUGUACCUUGGCCUUAUGACAACUAGAACCGGAUACUUAAUAAAACACACCCUUCCAAGUUCCACAGACAACCCGGUGAUCGCUUUUCCACAGGGCGACGAGAGGAGGAUCGCCGGGUAGGAUUAUGCUACUGCGAUGCUACUGGAGAUGCUACUUGGAGAUGCUACUUGGGGGACUUCAAUCUACUCUCUUCUACAUGCUGCAAGACGGAGGCUGCCAGAAGCGUAGUCUUCGACAGGAUUAGCUAUCCCCCUCUUAUUCUGGCAUUCUGCAGUUCAGUCCACCGAUAUGGCCCUUUACACAUAUACCCAUGCAUAUGUAGUGUAGCUCCUUGCUUGCGAGUACUUUGGAUGAGUACUCACGGUUGCUUUUCUCCCUCUUUUCCCCUUUCCCUUCUACCUGGUUGUCGCAACCAGAUGCUGGAGCCCUAGAGCCAGACGCCACCGUCGACGAUGAUUCCUACUACACUGGAGGUGCCUACUACUACGUGCAGGCCGCUGACGACGACCAAGAGUAGUUAGGAGGAUCCCAGGUAGGAGGCAUGCGCCUCUUUCGAUCUGUAUCCCAGUUUGUGCUAGCCAUCUUAUGGCAACUUGUUUAACUUAUGUCUGUACUCAGAUAUUGUUGCUUCCGCUGACUCGUCUAUGAUCGAGCACUUGUAUUCGAGCCCUCGAGGCCCCUGGCUUGUAUUAUGAUGCUUGUAUGACUUAUUUAUGUUUUAGAGUUGUGUUGUGAUAUCUUCCCGUGAGUCCCUGAUCUUGAUCGUACACAUUUGCAUGCAUGAUUAGUGUACGAUUGAAUCGGGGGCGUCAUAGAUGGGUAUAUUUUAUCGAAUUAAUAAUCUCAAUCCUAGGAUGGUUGUGUUCAUUAUGAUUCUAUCAAGGGAUUUUUGUAGCAUCAAUGUAUCCUUCAUCUUCAAAUAAUACUUCUGGCAUAUUUUAUGAACCCAACAUGUCCCUCAAAAAAAUACGCUAAACUUUUGUACCCCUUCAUCUAUCAAGUGAUUUUCGUAUUUGCAAUGUGAGUGGUUAUGAUUAACAUCUUUCUUUUUUUGCCGCUGGCUGCUAUUUUAGUAUCCUGGCUAUACCGUUAUGUGAUAUAUGAAGCAAGUUUUUUGUAGCUAGAAUAGGAUUGUAAUAAAGCGGCUGAUCUAGGAUUUGAGUAAUUCACCAAUAUGGGGGCAAUCAUAGACAAUAUCACAACGGGUAGCAAUCUUUUUUUCUGUCAACCACAUUACAAAUAGUUAUUGAAGUCCUAAGGCAUCAUAAUUUUGGCGUAUCGGAUGAGAAUUUACCAAAAGUAUUAUACAGAUAGUUCAACAAUAGUUUUACACAAUAGCCAUGAGCUCACACAAAGAGACAACACACGACCUCAUGUCACCUGCAGCUGCUGAACUCCACUCGCUACCUCACAGACCUAACCCUCCAUUGUUCCGCACGAUCACACAGACGCUUUUGCCGCCACCAGUGGCAUUGAGUUCAUGGCUGAGGUUAUUCUCAAUUUCUCAUGGCCUAGUUGUAUUGCGCACAUUUUCUUCCGUUUUUAACUUUUUACAGUGGAAGUGUCUCGAUUUAUUUAUACUAGCAAAUGUGACCGUGCGUUGCAACGGGAGAAACAAAUGCUUGCACGCCCCACCCAUCUUGCAACCGGAGAAACAAAUGCUUGCACGCCUGACCCAUCCAUGUUGUCAAUUCUAAUCUUUGCUGCCGUCACAAACGGUGACCAAGUUAUCCAUCUAUUCAACAAUGGUGGGUGGCCAGUUAUACAAAACAUUUGUAAUAAUGUGACCAGUUGAUGAAAUUCCAGUUUCCACGCAAAACCCUGAACCUUUGCGAGCGCAAAAUGUUAUCUCUACGCUAGAUAUGCGAUUGACAAAGAGAGGGAGACUGGGUUCCUCGUAUCAGAUAAGUCGUCCAUAGCCAUCCAUGAUGCUGACCUCUAUCUUGAUGGUGACAACCCGGACGGGCGGAGCCCCGGCCGUAAUUGAAACAGGUGUUUGUCUCUAGCUCCUACAACACGGUCUCCUUGACAUCCAACGUGAUAGAGCCGGAUCAUAGACACCUGCAAUUUUUUGUAUGUGCGUCAUCUUUUUUUGCGGGAAAUUAUAUGUGUUAUAUCAAUGCACAAAAAAACCUACAAACUAUAUUAAAAGUGAAUAGUUUUUUUUACAGCAUAUUAAAAGUGAAUAGUUAGUGUGUGUAUUUGCUUGAGUAGUGGUCUGAAAAUUAACAUAAUCAUAAUAUAAUUUUUUAGUCAGUACAAUAUGAGAAAAUCAUGUACCGUCGGGAGUGAGAAAUCACACUAUGCUGAUUCGAAUCCUUCCGUACAAAUCCUCGCCUUCAUUAAUUAAUUUAAUUCAUUCACUAAUUUAAUUCAUGCCUUAAUUAACUCUAAUCAGUCGCCGAUUUAAUCGCAUCAUUUUCUCCCACUAAUCCCUCCGUUCCUCCCUUGUGCAUCAGCCGAUUUAAUCGUUCUUUCCAACUAUUUCCUUCAUGAAUUGGCCAGAUCUCUCUCUCUCCAUUAAUUCCAGAUGCAUCUGGCCACUUAUUACCCUCUCCUUAUUAAUCCCGAGGCGCUUAUUGAUUCUAACUCAUACUCACAUAUAAAUUGGUGAAAUUAUAUGCAAAGAAGCGAGGUGGUACUAUGCAAUAUAUACGAAACCUCUUUAGCUUACACUAGCAUGAUUUAUACGAGUUGGAUCUAUGUAAGGAAAACUGAUGGCAGGUUGUGAGUUCGAUCCCUGAUAGCAGCAGCUAUUUUUUGCUGGAUUCGUUGUUGGGCCACAACGCAGCCUGCUGAUGGACGGCCAAAGGCCCAAGCGGGCCCAUGUAAGCGAGACGCGAAAAAGGAGAGGCCGAACUAUUUUUGACGACGUACGAAAAUCCUGUAACCAGGACGGACGAAAAUCUCGUAAUGACGGACCAAAAUUAGGGAGGAAGAAGCAAUAGCCCUUUUAUUAUUAGGUAAAGAGGUAAAGAUAAAGAUAAAGAUAAAGAUAGUGACUAUAGUAGACAUGAAGACUAGAUGUGUGCUGGACUAAGUUGUGGACUGCAUUCCAAAUAUUUGUGGGAUCCAUAUUCUGACACCGAAUCUUCCCAUGUUGUAAUAUAGCAAGUCAAGCGCCAAUUUAAGUUAUAGAAUGGUUAAGUGGUCGAUUGAUUGUUUUAAUUUCGGGUUGAUUCCUUCACCCAGAUUUGUACAGCCGUUAUCUCUCUUAAUUCCUUGGUUUUGUGGAGAGCACUUGUUGUUGUUCUUGUGUAAACAUUAUUUGAUUUUCACAUGAAAGCUUUCUUACUCAUAAAAAUAGCAACAAUUCCUGCUGAAACAAGUGGGCUGGUUGAGAUGUUCCAUGAUUCCCUUAAGCUGGCAUGAUUGACUGAUUAAUUGGGUUCAUACAUGUUAGCAAUCCAUGGUGUAAUAUUUUCUCAGUUGAUUUUGUAAUACAACAAAAACAUGUUGACAAUCAGUACAUACACAAUAAGAAAAACAUUUAUGAUGCACAAACUGCUGUUACUUGUGACAAAUUGGUUACCUCUGUACUAAGACCUUGGAUUAUGAAUGUUUAGUUGUGCUUUCUUAAUGCUCCCACAACAAAGCUCAAUAAUACCUUUCAGAAGGAGUAAUUCCUUCCAUUUUUUCGGCUAUGAAUUCCUCGACAUGUUUGCCUCAAUGCAUUUAGUUUGAGAAAAAUGUUGGUCCUAGUGCAUCAAUGCUAAUAGUACGAGGUUAUUUCAACUAUUAUAACAAGUUAAGAGGCCCGCGCAAAUGCGCAGGAAAUAUUUUAAUUUUUUGUUUAAAUGGAAAAACAAUUAGGAUCUCACAAUCAUUAUUUGAAGUGUAAGUUUUUGGUGUCAUCCAUCCCAUUAUCUGUUUAUUAGUAAAUAAUUAUUUUGUUAUAAGAAAGGAAAUGGAUCGGAGUAUGGCAUGAAUCAUAUAUAAUAUCAUUAUCUUGUUGUCCUCAUAUUAUUUCAUCUUCUUUUAAGGCACAUGCCCGUGAGGACUAGAAUAUCAUAUAUAACCAACUAUCCUAAGAUUGAGACUCUACCUUACAUCAACCAUGUUGAUGUUAUAGUCUUAACAUGCAUUAAUUUGUUGCACAGGUUGAAGUUAGUACAAACUAACACAUUUAAUUUUUUUGGUAUCUAUGAAGCAAUUGGAGGGGCCACAGGAGGAGGAGGUGGAUGAGAACGAUGGGGCGCAGGUAAGCCCCCUCCCAGUUUACUUUCUUGUGCCAGUCUCUCAUGCUUUGAUCUAAGUGGGUCACUUAUCCGUUGUUGGUAAUUUAGCAGUCUUCUUUCCUAAUAUCCAGUAAAUGCAAGGCUACCAUGAGCAUAUUUCAUCGAAUUAAUAAUCUCAAUCCUAGAAUGGUUUGGUUCAUUAUGAUUCCAUCAAAUGAUUUUGUAUCAUCAUCUUGGUCUUCAUCUUGUCAUAAUACUGCUAUCAUAUAUCAUGGACCCAACAUGCUCCUCAAAUAAAAUACAUUCAAUUUUUGUGCCCCAUCAUUGUAUUUGCGCUAGUAGUAGGUACGAUUUAACAUUUUUUUGCUGCUGAUAGCUAUUUUGUAUCCUGGUUGUACCACUAUGUGAUAUAUGAAGCAACUUUUGUGGAGCUAGAAUAAUAUUCUAAUACAAUACGUGGAGCUAGGAUUUGAGUAUUUGAGCAAUGUGGGUGGAAUCAUAGACAAUAUCACAACGGGUAGCAAUUUUUUUGCCAACCAUGUCCAAAUAGUUAUUAAACUCCCGAGGCAUCAUAAUUCUGUCAUAUCGGAGCAGAAUUUACUAAAGUUAUAAUGCAAAUAGGUUAACUAUAGUUUUACACAAUAGUUGUGCACUCGUGCCAAGCCACAAUGCAUGCCCUCGUGUCUCCUGUAGCUGUCGAACUCUAGUAAUCCACUUGUGAUUACUAAGGUGCAAGUGCUCGUAGUUCCUCUUAUUCAAUUGAUAUGAGGUUUGUGUUGGCGUGACUCCUUUGGUAAUUUUUUGUGACCCUCCUUAUUGUUUGGCUAUACAUCAUGAAUUCCAACGGUUUGCUUGGGCCUUCCACUGGCUCGUGUCAAGGGGAUGAAAAUGUUAUUGCUUGCUUGGUUCCCAUCAUUGUUCUAGAGUCCUUUGCAAUUCAGUUAAGAGAAUUUUAUAAUCAGUGAAGCAAUCUCCAGAAUCAAUUGUAUCAGCUACAAACUUCGUCUAAUGGACCUGUUGGUUGUCCUACCUCAUCGCAUGCCAGGUGAUGUUGUUCCCUGAGUGUUGGACUGGAGCCUCUUUCCAUGUGAUAUCCAAUAGCUCUUGUCUUACAUCAUGUUGACCUACUACAGAUGAUACUUGUGUUCACACGGCCGAUGGUACUCCAUGCAAGGUCACUCAUAAGGGACCUUUUCUAAAUCUCGGUUUGUUGUUUUAGAUGUUUCCCCGGCUCCUAGGAUCUUGUUGAACCUUAUGUCUGUUGGUCAGCUGGCUCAUAAGAAUUACUUUACUGGAUUUGAUGACACCUCUUGCUAUGUGUUGUACCGUCUGAACAAGAGGAUCGUUAGAACUAGUCAUGAUCAUGGAGUUCUCUCUAUGUUCUGGACACCUUCCACAUUUCUCCUUUCACAUCUACUAAUUUUCCCUCUCUCCCGUGAUAUUGAUAUCCACCUCAUGUUUUUCUUUUGCCUAGUGGCAUCAUCGUUUAGGUCUUUUAUGUGUCUCUCAUUUAUCAACUCUAGUCCAUCAAGGUGUUUUGGGUCAUGUCCCUAUAGAUGUUGGUUUUGAAUUUAAGAGUCGUAAGCUAGGAAAACAAAUACAACUUUCAUACCCUUCUAGCACUAAUUGUUCCGGUCACCCUUCUAAUUGAGUGCACUCAUAUGUGUGGGGUCCUUCUCCUUUUGUUUUGAAGGGUGAUCACAAACAUUAUGUCAUCUUUGUUGAUGAUUAUUUUCGAUAUACUUGGAUAUAUUUCAUGAUGCAUUGAUCUUAAUUGAUUUUUGUAUAUCAAGCUUUUGCACGUAUGGUCCAUACACAGUUCUCUAGCACUAGACACGCUUUUCGUUCUGACUCUGGGGGAGAGUAUUUAUCUACCGUGUUUUGUGAGUUUCUCUCUUUCGAGGGUACUUUUCCUCAACUUUCAUGUUCUCGUGCUCAUGCGUAGAUUGGUGUUGCUGAGCGUAAGCAUCAUCAUAUUACCGAGACCACUACAAAAAACCUGUUAAUCCAUGACGAAUUCGCCAUGACAAUUUCAAAAAUUGUCAUGGACAGCCUGGUACAGCCCCGCAAGCCCGCCUAAGCCCGCUAAAGCCCGCCUAACCGACCACCAUAUAAAGUGCUAACCCUAAUGCUCUCCCCCUCGGUCCCUCUCCUCUUUCCCUCAUCCACACAGCCCCCUCCCGAUUCCCCACCGCCGCCACCCACCACCUCUUCCCAUGGCUCCUCCCACAGCUCACCGUCGGCCCUCCCCCUCCCCUUCUCUCACAUCAUAGCUCCGGCAGCUGUCAGAUCCGCUGCAUCCCCCACCCAUCCACUCCUCUCGCGACCCAACUCUCUGUCUCAUGCGACCCUCACGCCGCGACCAACACCAUCGAUUCCGGCGACGUCCACCAGCUCGCAGCACACAGACGAGCUAGUCUCCGACCCCUCCAUCCUCUGGUCCGGCUGGAUCCGCCACUUCUGGUCUCCGGCACUCGCCCACAGCCCCUCGCCUAUGGCUAGGGUUUCGGCUGCGGCGUCACGUCCAUCACCGGCUCGUCUCCGGCGGCUCCUCCCUGUCGGACACCGCGCCCUCUCCACCCCUGGGUGGCGCCCCCUAGCUAGGUGCGCUCGCGCGCGUUGGUCUGUAUGGCGUUGACCCCGACCUCCUUUGUCGCGUCUCUGGCGCGGCCGUGCAUCCCAUGCAUCAUGUGAUGGCCUCCUCUGCCGCGCGACGGUGGUAGCCAACCUGCACUGCGGCUGCUGCAUCGCCUAUGAUCUUCUUCAGUGAGCACUUGUACCUCUGCUCUCUCCGCUACGACAUCUCCUGCUUAUCUUAUUUCGUGUGUUGUUCAUGAGUAUUGGUGGAACUGAUAACAAUCAUGUGUACUGUUGGAAUUUGUAUUCUCAAAAUUUAUUUGCAACAUUCGCUUGUGACUGGUCACUUUUGAUUCCUGAUAGCAUAGCUAAGGUUAACCAGAUAGAUAUCACAUGAAUUCUGUAAGUUUGUACUUUGCAUGAUUGAGAACAGGACAUCCAGGGCAGGUGAUGCCUAGGUAUUCCAUUUUAGUUGGCACAUUUCAAGGACAAGUAAUAUGGUGUCUAAUAUAUUUGUUUUAGUAUUACCAAUGCAAAGAUGGAAAAUAUGUUCUUUUUACAAUAUCCAAAGGAUGGUCGGUGUUGCACAACUUCAGGUUUCUAAUGCUAGUUCAUUCAUUCCAAGUAGUAAAUAGAUACUUGUUACUUUAUGCAUGAGAAACCUCAGGUACAUCAUGAAGAAAGGGAAAGUAAUGUGCGGCUACCCAUUGUAAAUUGUUCCUUCUUAGUUCAGUUCGUAUGCAAUUGAAUCAAUUCUUUAAGAAUUCAGUUAGUAAAUUUAGACUUUUGGGAAGGCAUAGUUCUUUAAGAAUUUGGUUUAGUUGAGACAACAUUUGCAUUGCAGUAAUAAUGAAAUGAGACCGCAUAUCCAAUUGUCACACUAAUAUCUUUGCUUUGCACAUUAUAGUCAGUGCAUCUCCCACCUGAUCGACGCCGACGCCACGGUCCUCGAGCAGAACAGGGUGAGCUUGAUACCCUUCCAUUCUUCAUGUGAAUUAUUCAGGCUGUAGACGUUGAGCUGUUCAAGGUGUGGAUUGUUGUGUGGUUCCAGUACAAUUAUAACUGUACAGAUAUUUUUGUGCGCAUAAAAUCUGCAUUGUACAAUGUCCCUGAUAUUAUGCAUUUUAUUGAUACUCUACUAGAGUUGCUAUCUCUUGUUGUUCAUGGGUUUUGAUUCUGCUUCUACAGAUUUUGAAUUUUUCAUGUAAUAACAAGUAUACCGCUUAGUACUCCACAAAUAAACUAUUAGUGUGGGAGAUCUCUCAGUGAAGCUGUAUCAUAUUCUUUGUUAAUAUUUUGCAUGCCAUUCGAAGUUCACUUGGCAAGCAAGUAUUGUUUAGUACUGUAUUUGUUGGCACUUUGAGAUGAACCUGCAGCAUAAGCAUCAAGUUAGAUGAAAAAUCCUCCGGUGCCGAUUUUGAUUUAAACAUUGAGUUAAUAUAGUCCACAACAUAACAUAUUUUGAUUUGAACUUAUCCUAUGCUUAUGCCCAGUUUGUGUUAAUUAUCUUGAAGUUAGUCUGUCUCUUCUUUACUGACAUUCUUGUUUGUUAAGGAAUGGUGUGGUACAGUGUCUAUGCUGGCUGAAUUUUCUUUACAUAAUUUUCAGCUGGUCGCUUGUACAGAAACUUUGAUCCAGAAAAACCAAAACCAAGUACGUGUUCACACACACACAGCUUCCUCUCACAAAAAAAAACUAAGUGCCUGUCUCUCUCACUUUUGUUCACAUUUCUUUUAGAGUGCAGAAAUGUUUGAUCCAGAUAAACUAAAUACCUGUACAGGCGCACAACUUCCUCUCACAACAAAAAAAACCAAGUACUUGUCUGUAUCAUGUUUGUUUGCUUUCUUCUUUGAGAAAUCUCAUGUUUGUUUGCUAGGCCAUAAAAUAGAGAGCUUUUAGCCUGGUUAGCCCCAUGCACCUACUGUUUGUUUGGUCCAGAACCAAUGGCUGAACCAACUGCCGCUGCUACUACACUUUUAGUUCUGUGAUGUGUGUUUGUUACUCAUCACUUGUAGGCUAACUUGAUUAUACUUUCAUUCGACACACUUUUCUUUGGACUAUUUUUGCUUGUUUUCACGUGUGUUGCCCACAUUUACGUGGUACCUUAGUAUAGUAGUGGUGUGUCCACAGAUGAUUGCUUGGAAAAUCAACUAAUAUUAUUACUCUUUGGAUUCAUUUGGGAGCUUACUUUUAUAACUUAUUAUAAUUUUGAUUGUCUUCUGAUUCUACACAGGUUUGGCAGUUAAUCCGCUUUACUGGAGAUUGAAGAUUUUUAGCAGGAUUUCUUAGGUCCGGUUAGCUGCCUACAAUCGUUGGUGUUGGAAAAAAAAUCAGCUAGUAGUGCAUUUUCUUUCAAGUCAUGUAACUCACUCUUAAAAAAAUACUUAUAGGGCUUUCUAGAUAUGCUCGGGAUGUUUUGAUAUUAAGCUUUGCUUUUUCAAAUCAGAUUAGAUUGUUGGAAAUCGGUAUUGUCAUGUAAACAAUUGCUAUUUUUUAAGGAAUAUAUGAUUUGGUUGUCGUGUUGUAAA